CCUACGGGAGGCAGCAGUGAGGAAUAUUGGUCAAUGGACGAGAGUCUGAACCAGCCAAGUAGCGUGAAGGAUGACUGCCCUAUGGGUUGUAAACUUCUUUUAUAUGGGAAUAAAAUGUUCCACGUGUGGGAUUUUGUAUGUACCAUAUGAAUAAGGAUCGGCUAACUCCGUGCCAGCAGCCGCGGUAAUACGGAGGAUCCGAGCGUUAUCCGGAUUUAUUGGGUUUAAAGGGAGCGUAGGUGGAUUGUUAAGUCAGUUGUGAAAGUUUGCGGCUCAACCGUAAAAUUGCAGUUGAAACUGGCAGUCGUGAGUACAGUAGAGGUGAGCGGAAUUCGUGGUGUAGCGGUGAAAUGCUUAGAUAUCACGAAGAACUCCGAUGGCGAAGGCAGCUCACUGGACUGCAACUGACACUGAGGCUCGAAAGUGUGGGUAUCAAACAGGAUUAGAUACCCCAGUAGUC
rnacentral:rRNA from 1 species